CCCUCUUGGUGUGACAGGAUCCUAUGGAAGUCUUACCCUGAGACUCACAUUGUCUGUAACUCCUAUGGCUGUACAGAUGACGUGGUGACCAGUGACCACUCCCCAGUGUUUGGUACAUUUGAGGUGGGGGUCACCUCACAGUUCGUCUCCAAGAAAGGUCUGCCUAAGUCCUCUGAACAGGCCUAUAUAGAGUUUGAGAAUAUUGAGGCCAUAGUGAAGACGGCCAGCAGAACCAAGUUCUUUAUCGAGUUCUACUCUACCUGCCUGGAGGG